rnacentral:rRNA from 1 species
CUUACAUUCAGUGGCGAGGUUAACCGAAUAGGGUAGCCGUAGAGAAAUCGAGUCCGAACAGGGCGAUUUAGUCGCUGGGUGUAGACCCGAAACCAGGUGAUCUAUCCAUGGCCAGGAUGAAGGUACCGUAACAGGUGCUGGAGGUCCGAACCGACUAGUGUUGCAAAACUAGCGGAUGAGCUGUGGAUAGGGGUGAAAGGCUAAACAAACCUGGAGAUAGCUGGUUCUCUCCGAAAACUAUUUAGGUAGUGCCUCAAGUAUUACCUUCGGGGGUAGAGCACUGUUUAGGCUAGGGGGUCAUGGCGACUUACCAAACCUAUGCAAACUCCGAAUACCGAAGAGUACAGCUUGGGAGACAGAGCACCGGGUGCUAACGUCCGGACUCAAGAGGGAAACAACCCAGACCGCCAGCUAAGGUCCCUAAAAUUGGCUAAGUGGGAAACGAAGUGGGAAGGCUAAAACAGUCAGGAUGUUGGCUUAGAAGCAGCCAUCAUUUAAAGAAAGCGUAAUAGCUCACUGAUCGAGUCGUCCUGCGCGGAAGAUGUAACGGGGCUAAGCCAGUUACCGAAGCUGCGGAUGCACAGUUUACUGUGCGUGGUAGGAGAGCGUUCUGUACGCCUGUGAAGGUGGGUCGUGAGGCCUGCUGGAGGUAUCAGAAGUGCGAAUGCUGACAUGAGUAGCGUUAAAGGGGGUGAAAAGCCCCCUCGCCGAAAGCGCAAGGUUUCCUACGCAACGUUCAUCGGCGUAGGGUGAGUCGGCCCCUAAGGCGAGGCAGAGAUGCGUAGCUGAUGGGAAACAGGUGAAUAUUCCUGUACCGAUCAAUAGUGCGAUGUGGGGACGGAGAAGGUUAGCUCAGCCGGGUGUUGGAUGUCCCGGUUCAAGCCUGUAGUCGUGCCUGGUAGGCAAAUCCGCCGGGCUUAGAUGAGGGGUGAUAACGAGUCUGCUUGCAGACGAAGUGAGUGAUACCCUGCUUCCAGGAAGAGCCACUAAGCUUCAGCUAUUGACGACCGUACCGCAAACCGACACUGGUGCGCGAGAUGAGUAUUCUAAGGCGCUUGAGAGAACUCUGGAGAAGGAACUCGGCAAAUUGACACCGUAACUUCGGAAGAAGGUGUGCCUUUAGUAGGUGAAAGGGAUUUACUCCCUCAGCCCAAUGAGGCCGCAGAGAAUCGGUGGCUGCAACUGUUUAUUAAAAACACAGCACUCUGCAAAGACGAAAGUCGACGUAUAGGGUGUGACUCCUGCCCGGUGCUGGAAGAUUAAAUGAUGGGGUGCAAGCUCUUGACUGAAGUCCCAGUAAACGGCGGCCGUAACGAUAACGGUCCUAAGGUAGCGAAAUUCCUUGUCGGGUAAGUUCCGACCUGCACGAAUGGAGUAAUGAUGGCCACACUGUCUCCUCCAGAGACUCAGCGAAGUUGAAAUGUUUGUGAUGAUGCAAUCUCCCCGCGGAAAGACGGAAAGACCCCAUGAACCUUUACUGUAGCUUUACAUUGGACUUUGAACAGAUCUGUGUAGGAUAGGUGGGAGGCUUUGAAACUCGGUCGCUAGAUCAGGUGGAGCCAACU